CAGUAGCCGCGGGAAUACGUAGGUGGCAAGCGUUGUCCGGAAUUAUUGGGCGUAAAGGGCUCGCAGGCGGUUUCUUAAGUCUGAUGUGAAAGCCCCCGGUUCAACCGGGGAGGGUCAUUGGAAACUGGGAAACUUGAGUGCAGAAGAGGUGAGUGGAAUUCCACGUGUAGCGGUGAAAUGCGUAGAGAUGUGGAGGAACACCAGUGGCGAAGGCGACUCUCUGGUCUGUAACUGACGCUGAGGAGCGAAAGCGUGGGGAGCGAACAGGAUUAGAUACCCCCGUAGUCCCUGUCUCUUAUAC
rnacentral:rRNA from 1 species